rnacentral:rRNA from 1 species
CAGUCGCCGCGGUAAUACAGAGGGUGCGAGCGUUAAUCGGAUUUACUGGGCGUAAAGCGUGCGUAGGCGACUUCUUAAGUCGGAUGUGAAAUCCCUGAGCUUAACUUAGGAAUUGCAUUCGAUACUGGGAAGCUAGAGUAUGGGAGAGGAUGGUAGAAUUCCAGGUGUAGCGGUGAAAUGCGUAGAGAUCUGGAGGAAUACCGAUGGCGAAGGCAGCCAUCUGGCCUAAUACUGACGCUGAGGUACGAAAGCAUGGGGAGCAAACAGGAUUAGAUACCCCUGUAGUCCCUGUCUCUUAUAC